UACGUAGGUGACAAGCGUUGUCCGGAUUUACUGGGCGUAAAGAGCGCGCAGGCGGUCGUGCAAGUCGCGUGUGAAAGCCCCCGGCUCAACUGGGGAGGGUCACGCGAUACUGCUCGACUCGAAGGCAGGAGAGGGAAGUGGAAUUCCCGGUGUAGUGGUGAAAUGCGUAGAUAUCGGGAGGAACACCAGUGGCGAAGGCGACUUCCUGGCCUGUUCUUGACGCUGAGGCGCGAAAGCUAGGGGAGCAAACGGG
rnacentral:rRNA from 1 species